UACGGAGGGGACUAGCGUUGUUCGGAAUUACUGGGCGUAAAGAGUACGUAGGCGGUAACGCAAGUUGGGUGUGAAAGCCCGGGGCUCAACCCCGGAACUGCAUUCAAAACUGUGUUGCUAGAGAUCGGAAGAGGUAAGUGGAAUUCCCAGUGUAGAGGUGAAAUUCGUAGAUAUUGGGAAGAACACCGGUGGCGAAGGCG
rnacentral:rRNA from 1 species